rnacentral:rRNA from 1 species
GGCCUUCGGGUUGUAAACCUCUUUCAGUACCGACGAAGCGCAAGUGACGGUAGGUACAGAAGAAGCACCGGCCAACUACGUGCCAGCAGCCGCGGUAAUACGUAGGGUGCGAGCGUUGUCCGGAAUUACUGGGCGUAAAGAGCUCGUAGGCGGUUUGUCGCGUCGUCUGUGAAAACCCGCAGCUCAACUGCGGGCUUGCAGGCGAUACGGGCAGACUUGAGUACUGCAGGGGAGACUGGAAUUCCUGGUGUAGCGGUGAAAUGCGCAGAUAUCAGGAGGAACACCGGUGGCGAAGGCGGGUCUCUGGGCAGUAACUGACGCUGAGGAGCGAAAGCGUGGGUAGCGAACAGGAUUAGAUACCCUGGUAGUCCACGCCGUAAACGGUGGGCGCUAGGUGUGGGUUUCCUUCCACGGGAUCCGUGCCGUAGCUAACGCAUUAAGCGCCCCGCCUGGGGAGUACGGCCGCAAGGC